rnacentral:rRNA from 1 species
GACGAACGCUGGCGGCGUGCUUAACACAUGCAAGUCGAACGGUGAAGCGCCUUCCUUUUUGGUGGGUGUGGGUGAGUGGCGAACGGGUGAGUAACACGUGAGUAACCUGCCCCCUUCUUCUGGAUAACCGCAUGAAAGUGUGGCUAAUACGGGAUAUUCUGGGUCUGUCGCAUGAUGGGUCUGGGAAAGAUAUUGUUUCGGUGGGGGAUGGGCUCGCGGCCUAUCAGCUUGUUGGUGGGGUGAUGGCCUACCAAGGCGGUGACGGGUAGCCGGCCUGAGAGGGUGGACGGUCACACUGGGACUGAGACACGGCCCAGACUCCUACGGGAGGCAGCAGGGGGGAAUAUUGCACAAUGGGCGCAAGCCUGAUGCAGCGACGCCGCGUGAGGGAUGGAGGCCUUCGGGUUGUGAACCUCUUUCGCCAGUGAAGCAGGCCUGCCUCGUUUGUGGGUGGGUUGACGGUAGCUGGAGAAGAAGCGCCGGCUAACUACGUG